GAUGAACGCUGGCGGCGUGCCUAAUACAUGCAAGUCGAGCGAACAGAUAAGGAGCUUGCUCCUUUGACGUUAGCGGCGGACGGGUGAGUAACACGAGGGUAAUCUACCUAUAAGACUGGGAUAACUUCGGGAAACCGGAGCUAAUACCGGAUAACAUUUGGAACCGCAUGGUUCUAAAGUGAAAGAUGGUUUUGCUAUCACUUAUAGAUGGACCCGCGCCGUAUUAGCUAGUUGGUAAGGUAACGGCUUACCAAGGCAACGAUACGUAGCCGACCUGAGAGGGUGAUCGGCCACACUGGAACUGAGACACGGUCCAGACUCCUACGGGAGGCAGCAGUAGGGAAUCUUCCGCAAUGGGCGAAAGCCUGACGGAGCAACGCCGCGUGAGUGAUGAAGGGUUUCGGCUCGUAAAACUCUGUUAUUAGGGAAGAACAAACGUGUAAGUAACUGUGCACGUCUUGACGGUACCUAAUCAGAAAGCCACGGCUAACUACGUG
rnacentral:rRNA from 1 species